rnacentral:rRNA from 1 species
AUUGAACGCUGGCGGUAGGCCUAACACAUGCAAGUCGAGCGGUAACAGAUCUAGCUUGCUAGAUGCUGACAAGCGGCGGACGGGUGAGUAAUGCAUAGGAAUCUGCCUAAUAGUGGGGGAUAGCCCAGAGAAAUUUGGAUUAAUACCGCAUACGUCCUACGGGAGAAAGCAGGGGAUCUUCGGACCUUGCGCUAUUAGAUGAGCCUAUGUCGGAUUAGCUAGUUGGUGAGGUAAUGGCUCACCAAGGCGACGAUCCGUAGCUGGUCUGAGAGGAUGAUCAGCCACACUGGGACUGAGACACGGCCCAGACUCCUACGGGAGGCAGCAGUGGGGAAUAUUGGACAAUGGGCGAAAGCCUGAUCCAGCCAUACCGCGUGUGUGAAGAAGGCUUUCGGGUUGUAAAGCACUUUCAGCGAGGAGGAAAGGGAUGCUGCUAAUAUCAGCGUCCUGUGACGUUACUCGCA